UGGCCAGUGAUGGUGAGCAUUUUUUCAUGUGUUUUUUGGCUGCAUAAAUGUCUUCUUUUGAGAAGUGUCUGUCUUUUAGCUAUUUUCUAAUCACUCAUCUACAAUGUUACUGUGAGAAUUAAAUGAGACUGUAUCCUUACAUACUUAGUAAAUAACUUAUUAGAUUCUAGCAAUAACAGAAGCAGAGGCUUUGCAGCCAGCCUCCCUUGAUUAGAAUCACACAUGUGCCACAUACUAGUGGAAGUUUAACCUUGGUCAAGUUACUGAACCUCCUUGGGCCUCAGUUUUCUCAUCAAUAAAGGGGAUAAUAAUAAGACUUAUAGCUCUCAUGAGAUUCUGUUAAGGAUCAAGUUAUCUACUAAAACAACACUCCAGUAAAUGUUAUCACCUUUUUAGGAAAAAGAUCUCAAUUUCCUAUGACCAUUCAGUCAAUAUCAUAUAAAAAUGAUAAACUCCUUUUAGUUAACAUAAACAAAAUAAGUCAUUAUUAUGAUUAAUCCACAAACGAUCAGUUCGAAUUCUGCACCAAGUAAUGAAGGACAUCUUAUGAAAAAUGUUAUAUAUCUCUUUUAAAGAACAGAGUGGCAUCUUGUUAUUUCUUACAGGCAACAUCAGAGUAGACGGAGAACAGCUGAGAUGGUUACAUUUCUGGUAGUGUAUUCUUUGGAGUUAUGAAAGUUACUCCCCACAUGUCUGAAGUCUUAGAAAAAUCUGCCAGUACUUCGGAUCACCGAAGGAAAUAAGAAGUAGACUUGAAUAAAGUGGAAAUCAAGCCCCAGUUGAGAGAGAAAAAUAACUGGGACAUGGAGCCUUAGGGACAUAGAGCACAAAAUCCUUCACUGAUUUUCUUGGGAUGCCUUUACACAAAGAGAGGGAACAAAGGAGUAAAAAAUAUGUUUCUCAUUACAGCCUUUAGGUGCUUCUGGGAAGAAGGAAGGAAAACUUGAAUGUGCUAAGAGAAAUCUGAACACAGCUUAAAUCAAAAGUCUAUCUUGCUAGAAGAGCACUGGAGAUAGAGUCGGAUACGCUUUAAAGGACAAGGGAAAACAGCUCCCAGUGGAUGGUACACACAUGGCAAAAGGCCAAGAGUAGAAGCACCGUCAUUAGGAAAAGGAAUCAGCCAAGGUCCCAGGCAAGAAGAGGUGAGGCAAAUGGAGGCUCUGAGGAAAGUGGCUCCAAAGCCUACAUGAUGGAAGAUAACUCUGGAAGAGAAAGAGAUGACGUUCCUAAGCUUGUAUAGCAAAACUUGAGAGAAGGUAACGAAGAUGUGACAUCUGAACUCAGAGAAAUAUAACUUCUAUAGAAAAGAAACAAGGCCUUGCAGCUCUAUAAGGAACAGUAAAUAAAUCAAGUAUGCACACAAGAAGUAAAAAAAUAUAUCCAAGUAGAAAGGAAGCUUUUCAUGAAAUGUCCACAGAGCUCAUGCUCUGUAGUGACUGUAAUGCAAGAUUCAAGGCUCUAUCUAGAAAACUCCUAGCCAGUCUUGACGGACCAAGCCCUACACUGAGCAUGUACAGAGUCUUCCUGUUCCAUGCAGUACUUGCUAACAAAACUAAUUUAAAUGCCUUACCAUGACUCGAUCUCCUUUAAAGUACCUCAUUAGUCCUUGAUAUCCCUUUGCUGUAUCUCUGGCUUGCCUUGCCACUGCUCUGUGAGUCCCCACAACUCCUCCUCCACACAUACUCUUCCCCCAAGAGCUUGGCACAGAAUAAAGAUCCAUUUUAGAUCUGGAUUUAAAUAGUUUUCUUUACUAGCUCAUUUCCUUAUCUACUAAUGAGGGAAAUACCACCUACGUCAGAGUGGGAAUUAAAUGAAAUAAUAAACCUAAAGACCCCAGCUCAAUGGUUCAAACAUAAAUAAUGCCAAAUAUUCAUUCCUCUCCCCAUGCCCAUAUCCUCUCACCAAGCCCCAAUGUUCUAUAGCUUAUGACCCAAAACGCUAAAAGUAGAACAUUCUAAUAUUGAGCAUAUUAACAGAAGCUUGAAGAGAUAUGCAAGUUAUAAAUCUGUUUUUGUUCUUCCUCACCAAUAUAAAUUUGCUAAGUGACAGAUUAAGACAGUCAAUUCCAAGAAGUUGGAUUCAAUAACAUGACAUGAGGCACAAAGUAGCCCAUAUCAAUAGCCAGGAAUGAUUUUAUUGCAGCUUGUUAUGCUAGUU